AAACAGGACAAUUUGCUGAGGCCUGGGAGCACCCCACUCCAGAGAAUCCCUGAUGUCCCAAAAUUUGGUUGAGAUCUAAAGUUUAUUUUGCUGUACACCUCUUUGUCUGCAGUUUUACUUACUCCCAACAAAGAAGGUGCGUUUUCCUGCCUCCAUGACGAUGGAGGGGAGGCAACUCCUUUCUGGAAUUUCAUCUGGCUUCCAGCAGGGAAGGUAACAUGCACAUGGUCAAAAAAUGGAACAAUAUGAACAAGAUAGUAAGCAAAGUCUUACUGCAAUGCCCUUCCAGUUUGCCCCAGUACCAGCCCUGCCUCCUCCAG
rnacentral:lncRNA from 1 species